CCUUUGUGAACUAUACCUACUUUGUUGCCUCGGCAUUGGUUGGCUUCGAACGAAGUCCCUUGCACACCUCUAGGGGUUGCAAGGAGCAGACCGGCCGACGGCCCCCUAUAAACUCUUUGUUUUUGUACUAUCUUCUGAGUAAAACAACUAUAAAUGAAUCAAAACUUUCAACAACGGAUCUCUUGGUUCUGGCAUCGAUGAAGAACGCAGCGAAAUGCGAUAAGUAAUGUGAAUUGCAGAAUUCAGUGAAUCAUCGAAUCUUUGAACGCACAUUGCGCCCGGUGGUAUUCCACCGGGCAUGCCUGUUCGAGCGUCAUUUCAACCCUCAAAAAUCUUGCAUUUUUGGUGUUGGAGGAGUACCUGUGACAGGGUACCCUCUGAAAUUUAGUGGCGGGCUCGCUAGAAUUUUGAGCGUAGUAAUUUUACCUCGUUUUUAAAGACUAGUGGGACUUCUUGCCGUAAAACCCCCCAAUUUUCUGA
rnacentral:rRNA from 1 species